AAGUAGUGGAUUUGUAUGGGAAUCUGGUGGUUGGGGAAGAAGAACCAGCAAUUCAUUUCAAUUCAUUCAAUGAGCAUGAUGAUAUUUCCUCUCAUAACAACUACAUAAUCCGUUAGUUUACGGCUAUCUAUCAAAUAUGGCAGUUUCUUCCUAGACUUUGGUCUUCGCACCACACGAUCUGAUUUUUGAUGAUCCUGAUGUUGGCUCCAACACUUUUCUCGUCUGAAAAAUCAGAGAAAUCCCAUUUGAUUUUUCUGAGGGAUUAUUAGGUUGAUGCUCAUGCUGUGGAGGAAGAUGGAGAAGCCCCAUGUUCUCUGGUUAUUUUCAACAACCAAAUAGAAGUUGAUUGAUCUAAACACCAAACCUGAAGUUUGAGGACACACCAACAGAUUUGAAUUGCAAGAUCCAAUUCUAGACUGGUUGCACUUGAGCAUCCAGUGUCUUGGAGUAUUACGACGGUUCAAGUUCACUGAGAUCAGAGAAUUACGUUGUUGCUAAUGCCCCGGAAGAUGUAGAGCAAGAAGAGAAUCAAGUUUGAAUUUGAGAGUUGUAUCUGAUUAAUGUUAAAAGGAAAAUACGAGUUCAAUAAUUUAAACACAAAAUUACCUGCAGUUUGAGGUAUAUAGAAAUAGCUGUGCAACUACCGCACAUCCAGUCUGUUUACUUGGCUUAGCAUCUGAUUUGGAUUCUGCACAGGAUAGCAGAGGGAAAAUGACUUAUGUAUAUCUGUUGUCAACCGUCUAAAGCCAAUUCAUAACUGUCUCUUAGAUGCUCUUACAACCAUGUACCGGUUGGCGAGGAUGAACUGCUGAUUAGAGUGUUGACCACAUGUCUGGUACCUGUUGACUUGGAUUACCGGCUUAACUUAUCUGAACGAACGAAAUCUUCACUUUUCUGGUACCUGUUGUCUUGGAGUACCGGCUACUUUAUGGCGCACACAGAUUCUCCUUGGAUAUUUAAUCAUUUUUCUUGUUAUGUUGCAUUUUUAAUUACUGUACUUUGGCAAUUUUUGCUUCUUGUUUUAAUUUUUAAAAUGAUUAUUGCCACACCUUGUUUGCCCUUCCUUUACACAUUUUAACCGCAUUAGCUGCCCUUGCAA